rnacentral:sRNA from 1 species
UUUAAGAGAAAAUGGUUAUAAGUGUUGUCUAAACACUCCUAAUCCAUCUCUAACUCUUAUAAUUAGUCAAAUGCAUUGGAUUGUGACAUAUUUUGACCAUACAAAUACUAACCAAACUGUUUACUACUUCUAAGCAAUUUUUUUGUUGGUUUUAGCAUCUUUUGAUAGAAAAUGGGUAUAAGUGUUGUAUGAACACUCCUAACCCAUUUGUAACUCUUAUAAUUAGUCAAAGGCUUUCGAUUGUGACACAUUUUGACCCUAGAAACACUAACAAACCUAUUUACUGCUUCUAAGCAAUUUUUUGUUGGUUCUAGCCGCUUGUGGGAGAAAAUGGGUAUACGUGUUGUUUAAACACUCUUAAUCCAUCUUUAACUCUUAUAAUUAGUCAAAUGCAUUGGAUUGUGACACAUUUUGACAAUCAAAACACUAAAAAAACUGUUUACUGCUUCUAAGCAAUAUUUUGUUGGUUUUAGCCUCUUUUGGGAGAAAAUAGGUAUAAGUGUUGUCUUAACACACCUAAUCCAUCUCUAACUCUUAUAAUUAGUCAAAUGCAUUGGAUUGUGACACAUUUUGACCACAGAAACACUAACAAAGCUAUUUACUGCUUUUAAACAAUUUUUUGUUGGUUUUAGCCGCUUGUGGAGAAAAUGGGUAUAAGUGUUAUCUAAACACUCUUAAUCCAUCUUUAACUCUUAUAAUUAGUCAAAUGCAUUGGAUUAUGACACAUGUUGACAAUCAAAACACUAACAGAACUGUUUACUGCUUCUAAGCAAUUUUUUGUUGGGUUUAGCUUCUUUUGAGAGAAAAUAGGUAUUAGUGUUGUCUAAACACUCCUAAUCCAUCUCUAACUCUUAUAAUUGGUCAAAUGCAUUGGAUUGUAACACAUUUUGACCAUAAAAACACUAACAAAACUGUUUAUUGCUUGUAAGCAAUUUUUUGUUGGUUUUAGCCUCUUUUGGGAGAAAAUGGGUAUAAGUGUUGUCUAAACACUCCUAAUCCAUCUCUAACUCUUAUUAUUAGUCAAAUGCAUUGGAUUGUGACACAUUUUGACCAUAAAAACACUAAUAAAACUGUUUACUGCUUGUAAGCAAUCUUUUGUUGGUUUUAGCCUCUUUUGAGAGAAAAUGGGUAUAAGUAUUGUUUAAACACUCUUAAUCUAUCUCUAACUCUUAUAAUUAGUCAAAUGCAUUAGAUUGUGACAAAUUUUUACAAUAGAAACACUAACAACCCUAUUUACUGCUUCUAAGCAAAUUUUUGAUGGUUUUAGCCGCUUUUGGGAGAAAAUGGGUAUAAGUGUUGUCUAAAGACUCCUAAUCCAUCUCUAACUCUUAUUAUUAUUAAAAUGCAUUGGAUUGUGACACAUUUUGACCAUAAAAACACUAACGAAGCAAUUUACAGAUUCUAAUCAAUUUUUUGGUUGUUUUAGCCUCUUUUGAGAAAACCUUGAUAUAAGUGUUGUCUAAACACUCCUAAUCUCUCUUUAACUCUUAUAAUUAGUCAAAUGCAUUGGAUUGUGACACAUUUUGACCAUCAAAACACACAUAGAACUGUUUACUACUUCUAAGCAAUGUUUUGGUUGUUUUAGCCUCUUUUGGGAGAAAAUGGGUAUAAGUGUUGUCUAAACACUCCAAAUCCAUCUCUAACUCUUAUAAUUAGUCAAAGGCUUUGGAUUGUGACACUUUUUGACCAUAGAAACUCUAACAAAGCUAUUUACUGCCUCUAAGCAAUGUUUUGUUGGUUUUAUCCGCUUCUGGGAGAAAAUGGGUAUAAGUGAUGUCUAAACACUCUUAAUCCAUCUUUAACUCUUAUAAUUAGUCAAAUGCAUUGGAUUGUGACACAUUUUGACUAUCAAAACACUAACAGAACUGUUUACUGCUUCUAAGCAAUUUUUUGUUUGUUUUAACCUCUUUUGGGAGAAAAUGGGUAUAAGUGUUGUCUAAACACUCCUAAUCCUUCUCUAACUCAUAUAAUUAGUCCAAUGCAUUGGAUUGUGACACAAUUUGACCAUAGAAACACUAACAAAUAUAUUUACUGCUUCA